AGAUAUUCGUUUGCUCCCGCUCUCUGGAACAGAUCGCCAGCGCGCGGGUUCCUCGGGAGCGCGUGAAAAGGGCGCCCAACAUAAUUAUCCGGGCGAAUUCGUCCACGCGCCCGCUCUCCCCGCAGUCGCCCGCGAUGCCGCCACCCAGCGCUGGCGCCCAAAGACCGCAACCCCACCCCCGCCUUCCAUCUCCUUCCCCAAAGUACAAUGGCUCCCUCCCUGCUCUCCCCCUCCUCCACCAACCCCGCAUGAGCCCUCCCAUACUCUCCCCUGGAAAACCUCGCACGUCACCCUCGCUCCCAUGUUCUCGGGCGCCCGGCAUUCCGUCGAACGGCUGUUAGUCCCCCACCAUGGAGCCGCUGUGCGAGUUCUGUGGGGCCCAGCGGGCCCUCGUCUAUUGUAAGUCCGACGCCGCCCGCCUCUGCCUUCCCUGCGACGGCUUCGUCCACUCCGCUAACGCCCUCUCCCGCCGCCACCUCCGCGCCCUCAUCUGCGACCGCUGCGUCUCCCAGCCCGCUGUCGUCCGCUGCCUCGACGACCGCCUAUCCCUCUGCCAGGACUGCGACUGGGGUGGCCCCGACUGCCCGGGCCCCGGCCACCGCCACUGGCGCCACCCCGUGAACUGCUACUCCGGAUGCCCCUCUCUGCCCGAGCUCUCCCGGAUGUGGUCCUCCGUGCUGGACCUCCCGCCGCCAAAGGCUCAGGCCGGCGGGCCCGGGAUGGUCGCCAUCGACGAGAACAGCGCGAGCACCUGCUGGGAGCCCGGGGAGGACGCGAGCUCGGUUGGGUUGUCUAUGGCCGGGACGUUGGGUGGUCUGAAGCCCUGCGCUAAGUUCGACCCCUGGAUGGCUUCUUCUAUGGUGCCGGAGAUCGGCUCCAUGAUGCCGUGCGGCGGGGAGCAACAGGGCCUCUUUCAUAAGGAAUCCAACGUUCCCAAGCUUGGUUGUCCUCCUUUCAGAGAUCUUGGGAUAUGUGAUGAGGAUGAGCUUUGUGAAGGCUUUGGAACUGGGGAUGGUGGCUUCACCAAUGACAAUAAUGAGAUGUUUGGCUGUCCGCAGAAUCUUCCUAGAUACCCAUUUCAAGAGGCAGGAUCAAAUGGAUUUUUAACAGAGAAGAACUCUUCAGUUGCAGAUUCAAAUGGUCACAUUGACCUUGCUGUAAAGGUAUCUUCCUCAGUACAACAUGACUGCAUGACACUUCAGUCUUCGCAGAUAGUUGGGCCAGCUGGUGCUCUGCAGGCACUGAACAGCAAUCCAGAUCAACUAUUAUUGAAUCUUCAUGGCAACAUAAAUGACAGUCUAUAUUUCCCUUCUGGAAAUGUCUGUCCAAAUAUAUCUCUUUCACUGUCGAACCUAACUGGUGAAAGUAGCGCUGCUGAUUACCAAGACUGUGGAGUGUCACCAAUGUUUCUCACAGGUGAAUCACCAUGGAAUUCAAAUCUUGAAACUGGUCGUCCACACGCAAGGAAUGAAGCAAAAAUGAGAUAUAAUGAGAAAAAGAAAAGCCGACUGUUUGGGAAACAAAUUAGGUAUGCUUCACGCAAGGUCCGAGCAGAUACUAGAAAGCGUGUGAAAGGUAGGUUUGUAAAGGCUGGUGAGGCUUGUGACUACGACCCUGUUUUGGCAAGAAGCAAUUGAACUAAUUUCAAAGUUCUAUUUCCCUUUGCAAAGCAACAGGUACUUGGCUCAGAAGCUGUAGAGAUGAGAAUCGAGCAGUAUUCAGAUGACCAGACUUCUGCAUGAGAUUCUUUCGGCAGUUGCUUGCAGAAAGGAUAACUUUAAUUUUCGAGUUGCUUUCUUACUUUCUUUUGUUCUUCAGCAUUUGUUGAACUCGUACGGAGUUCCUUCUCUUGGCUGAGGAGAAACGCAGCCAAUUUUAAUAAGUCUGUCUGUGAGUAAUGGAAAACCUGUGCUUAAUAAAUGCUUCUAUUCUUCGAAUGAUUUUAAUAAAGUGCAUAUGAGUUCUUUAACA